CACACACACGCGCACACACACGCACACGCCCGCGCACACACUCUCUCACACACACACAGAGAUUGGAGAGAGACAGGAGAGAGACAUGUUUUCAUCUAUCCUUUGUGGACUUCUGUUGUUUUUACUGCUGUGAAAUUUGACUUGCGAUAUCUGCUUGUAAAACAUCAUCAAAUCCAAAUUCAUUAUAUUCCACUUUUUCUAUUACAUGGUUUCUGCUUCACUGAUUCAUAUCUGUUUUACCUAUUCUGUAAGGGAGGAGAAGCUGCAAAGCAAUGAAGAGAAAAGCUGAAGUCAGUGAUUAGGAGUGUCUGUGUAAGUAAAAGCAACAGGCAAUUACUGAGUGUGGUGUGAGAGGCACGGAAAGAUUGGGAAUUCAGCAAGAAGAGGAAUUGAAGUCAAACCUCACCUACUUCCCAGAGUCUUCUGGAUUUUCUGUUAGAAGCUUCAGUAUCUGAGGAAAGGACUCAGGCAACAAAUAAACAGCUAAGAUUUUACUAGAGUAUGAAAGGGAGAGCACUGGAGUGCAGUGCGGGGAUGGAGAUGCAGCUGUGGUGGCUGGAAGUACAGGAGGGCAGCUGGAGGCACCUGGCCUCUGAAGCCUGUCUUCUUCAUCUGGGUGAGAUCUGCUGGAGUCAGGAAGGACUUCCUGCUGCAAGGAUAAAGACCUAAGAAGCAUCAUGACCUGAGAAACAGUUUCACAGGCCACUCUUGGCAGGUGAAGUGUGGUGGCGUAAUCAUGACUCACUGCAGCCUCGAACUCCGGGACUCAAGCUAAUCUCUUUCCUCAGCCUUCCCAGCAGCUGGGACUACAGAAUCCCACCCAUCCUAAGGCAUUACAUUUAGUCAUCAUAGCUCUUUCUUCACAGAAUUAGAAAAAACUACUUUAAAUUUCAUAUGGAACCAAAAAAGAGCCCAUAUAGCCAAGAAAAUCUUAAGCAAAAAGAACAAAGAUGGAGGCAUCAUGCUAACUGACUUCAAACUAUACUACAAGGCUACAGUAACCAAAACAGCAUGGUACUGGUGCCAAAACAGAUAUAUAGACCAAUGGAAUAGAACAGAGGCCUCAGAAAAACGUCACCCAUCUACAACCAUCUGAUCUUCAACAAAUCUGACAAAAACAAAUAAUGGGGAAGAAAUUCUGUAUUUAAUAAAUGAUCUUGGGAAAACUGGCUAGCCACAUGCAGAAAACUGAAGCUGGGCUCCUUCCUUACACCUUAUACAAAAAUUAACUCAAGAUGGAUUAAAGACUUAAACGUAAGACCUAAAACCAUAGAAACCCUAGAAGAAUACCUAGGCAAUACCAUUGAGGACACAGACAUGGGCAAAUGACUAAAGCAACAAAAGCCAAAAUUGACAAAUGGGAGCUAAUUAAACUAAAGAGCUUCUGAACAGCAAAAGAAACUAUCAUCAGAGUGAACAGGCAACCUACAGAAUGGGAGAAAAUUUUUGCAAUCUAUCCACCUGACAAAGGGCUAAUAUCCAGAAUCUACAAAUAACUUAAACAAAUUUACAAGAAAAAAAACAAACAACCCCAUCAAGAAGUGGGUGAAGGAUAUGAAAAGACACUUCUCAAAAGAAGACAUUUAUGUGGCCAACAAACAUGAAAAAAAGCUCAUCAUCACUGGGCAUUAGAGAAAUGCAAAUCAAAACCACAAUGAGAUACCAUCUCACGCCAGUUAGAAUGGCGAUCUUUAAAAAGUCAGGAAACAACAGAUGCUGGAGAGGAUGUGGAGAGAUAGGAAUGCUUUUACACUGUUGGUAGGAGUGUAAAUUAGUUCAGCAAUUGUGGAAGACUGUGUGGAGAUUCCUCAAGGAUCUAGAACCAGAAAUGCCAUUUGACCGAGCAAUCCCAUUACUGGCUAUAUACCCAAAGGAUUAUAAAUCAUUCUACUAUAGAGACACAUCCACCUGUAUGUUGAUUGCAGCACUGUUCACAAUAGCAAAGACUUGGAACCAAUGCAAAUGCCCAUCAAUGAUCGGCUGGAUAAAGAAAAUGUGGCACAUAUACACCGUGAAAUACUAUGUAGCCAUAAAAAAGGAUGAGUUCAUGUCCUUUGCAGGGAUAUGGAUGAAGCUGGAAACCAUCAUUCUCUGCAAACUAAUACAGGAACAGAAUGCCAAACACCACAUGUUCUCACUCAUAAGUGGGAGUUGAACAAUGAGAACACAUGAAUACCGGGAGGGAACAUCACACACCAGGGCCUGUCAGAGGGUCGGGGGCUAGGGAAGGGAUAGCAUUAGGAGAAAUACCUAAUGUAGAUUAUGGGUUGAUGGGUGCAGCAAACCACCAUGGCACAUGUAUAGCUAUGUAACAAACCUGCACGUUCUACACAUGUAUCCCAGAACUUAAAGCAUAAGUAAAAUAAAAAAAUAAUUAAAUGAGGAAGAAGAGUCAAAUUUUUGUGCAGAAAAAUUUGAAAGAAUUUAUGUAGAUACUACUUCCUCAAUGAGGAAGAGCAUAACUCUAUGCUCUUUAAGUCGGACAUGAACAUACUCAUUUCUUUCAAAAGAGUACAAUAUGAAAAGAGGGAAAAAGAAUAACUGUACAGUAAAGAAACCUGACAAUUGCUACCUUGGCCAAGUGACCCAGGUCAACAUCAACAGUGAUAGUGACGUUUAUGUCAUGUCCACUUGAAAUGAUGUGAUUAAAAAAAGGCACUUUACCUCUGUGUUCUUCUUCCUAUUCCCAUAAUUCCAGACUAAUUAUUUAAAAAUUUUCAUAUGUAUUCCAAUUAAAGAACAUUCUAAAAAAUACCCAACUGGUAAUUCUCAAAACUGCCUAGGUCAUCGAAACAAGCAAAAUUUGAGAAACUGUUACAUUUAUGGAUUUUUAAAUAUUGAAACAAAUCUCAUAUUUCUGGGAUGAAAUCUACUUCAUUAUGAAGCAUUAUCCUUUUAAAUAUAUUGCUUGAAUUAAUUUGCUAAAAUACUGUGUAGGAUUUUGCAUCUAUACUAAUGAGAGAUAGUGAUCUUUAGUUUUCUUUUUUCUUUUGUUUUGUUUUCUGAAACAGAGUCUUCUUGCUCUAUCGCCCAGGCUGGAGUGCAGUAGCAUGAUCAUAGCUCACUGCUGCCUCAAACUGAAGCAAUUAAAGACUGCUCAAGUAAUCCUCCCGCCUCAGUCUCUUAUGUAGCUAGGACUAUAGGCAUAUACCACCAUGCCCAGCUAACUUUUAAUUACUUUAUUUUUUAUUUAUUUAUUUUUUGUAAAGACAGGGUUUUGCUAUGUUGCCUAGGCAGGUUUCAAACUUCUGGCCUCAAGCAGCCCAGGCAUGUGCCAAAACAUCUGGCCCAGUUUUCUUUUCCAUAAGGUCUUUGCCUGGUUUUAAUAUCAGUGUACUAGUGAACUCUUCAAUUUUUAGAAGAGUUUGUAUAAAAUUGGUAUCACUUGUUCCUUAAAUGUUGAGAAGAGC
rnacentral:lncRNA from 1 species